GACAGGGAACCCGCGGUUCGCAGCUGGAAAGACUAGAUGCCCAGCGGCUUCAGCCACCUACUCAGCCCCAGCGUCCCUCAGCCAGGGCACUUAAGAGCGAAUGGUCGGCCCUUCUCCUCCGCAACCAGAGGGCAGAGCGCAAACCGCCCCCCUCAGGGCCCAGCAGACCCAGUUACAGCGGACCCAGUUACAGCGGACCCAGUUACAGCGGACCCAGUUACAGCGGAACCGCAUGCUGCACCGUCUCCCAUCUGAACAAUUCGCUUCUCCACCGGAAAACCCUUCAUGCAGGAACCUGUAUGAUGAGUCAAAGUCACUCAGGCGAACGGGCCGCGGAGUCAGCUUCCCUGUUACCGCCGCAGGGGAUUGUCCGCGUUUAUUACAGAUUAAACAGUAAAGCGACGCGGGCUGUAUAUAAGGAAGGUCGGAGCAGGGCGUCCCCUGGGGGCUGCAGGGCGAAUUCAAUGCACGACCUUCUGCUGGGAAAGCAUGAUUCCCGGUACAGGCCUUAGACAGGGCUGAAUGGUGACCCAGAAAGACGUGUCCCCAGCCUACCCGCCCUGUGAAGGGGCCUCAUUUGGAAAUGGGGUCUUUGCGGCAGAGGCCCCACCGGGUGAGAGCGCGCCCCAAACCAGUGACGGCCGAGUGUCCCUGUGAGGACUGCUCAGAGUGACGCCUGGAGGCGGCCAGCAGACAUUUGGGGCUCGAGUAAAGGGGUGCAGACGCCGCCCGGAAGCUGAGCUGUGCAUGCAGAUGGGGCCCGGCGGCCUCCCCCACCCUGCUGUCGCCCCGGCCCUCCAGGCCCGAGGCCCCCACCGGGAACAGCCCAGGGAGACACUUACAU